GCGAACGCUGGCGGCAGGCCUAACACAUGCAAGUCGAACGAACCCUUCGGGGUUAGUGGCGGACGGGUGAGUAACACGUGGGAACGUACCUUUAGGUUCGGAACAACACAGGGAAACUUGUGCUAAUGCCGAAUGUGCCCUUCGGGGGAAAGAUUUAUCGCCUUUAGAGCGGCCCGCGUCUGAUUAGCUUGUUGGUGAGGUAAAGGCUCACCAAGGCUACGAUCAGUAGCUGGUCUGAGAGGAUGAUCAGCCACACUGGGACUGAGACACGGCCCAGACUCCUACGGGAGGCAGCAGUGGGGAAUCUUGCGCAAUGGGCGAAAGCCUGACGCAGCCAUGCCGCGUGAAUGAUGAAGGUCUUAGGAUUGUAAAAUUCUUUCACCGGGGAAGAUAAUGACGGUACCCGGAGAAGAAGCCCCGGCUAACUUCGU
rnacentral:rRNA from 1 species